AGAGUUUGAUCCUGGCUCAGAACGAACGCUGGCGGCGUGGAUAAGACAUGCAAGUCGAACGAGAGAAUUGCUAGCUUGCUAAUAAUUCUCUAGUGGCGCACGGGUGAGUAACACGUGAGUAACCUGCCCCCGAGAGCGGGAUAGCCCUGGGAAACUGGGAUUAAUACCGCAUAGUAUCGAAAGAUUAAAGCAGCAAUGCGCUUGGGGAUGGGCUCGCGGCCUAUUAGUUAGUUGGUGAGGUAACGGCUCACCAAGGCGAUGACGGGUAGCCGGUCUGAGAGGAUGUCCGGCCACACUGGAACUGAGACACGGUCCAGACACCUACGGGUGGCAGCAGUCGAGAAUCAUUCGCAAUGGGGGAAACCCUGAUGGUGCGACGCCGCGUGGGGGAAUGAAGGUCUUCGGAUUGUAAACCCCUGUCAUGUGGGAGCAAAUUAAAAAGAUAGUACCACAAGAGGAAGAGACGGCUAACUCUGUGCCAGCAGCCGCGGUAAUACAGAGGUCUCAAGCGUUGUUCGGAAUCACUGGGCGUAAAGCGUGCGUAGGCUGUUUCGUAAGUCGUGUGUGAAAGGCGCGGGCUCAACCCGCGGACGGCACAUGAUACUGCGAGACUAGAGUAAUGGAGGGGGAACCGGAAUUCUCGGUGUAGCAGUGAAAUGCGUAGAUAUCGAGAGGAACACUCGUGGCGAAGGCGGGUUCCUGGACAUUAACUGACGCUGAGGCACGAAGGCCAGGGGAGCGAAAGGGAUUAGAUACCCCUGUAGUCCUGGCAGUAAACGGUGCACGCUUGGUGUGCGGGGAAUCGACCCCCUGCGUGCCGGAGCUAACGCGUUAAGCGUGCCGCCUGGGGAGUACGGUCGCAAGAUUAAAACUCAAAGAAAUUGACGGGGACCCGCACAAGCGGUGGAGUAUGUGGCUUAAUUCGAUGCAACGCGAAGAACCUUACCUGGGCUUGACAUGUAAUGAACAACAUGUGAAAGCAUGCGACUCUUCGGAGGCGUUACACAGGUGCUGCAUGGCCGUCGUCAGCUCGUGUCGUGAGAUGUCUGGUUAAGUCCAGCAACGAGCGCAACCCCUGUUGCCAGUUACCAGCACGUGAAGGUGGGGACUCUAGCGAGACUGCCCAGAUCAACUGGGAGGAAGGUGGGGACGACGUCAGGUCAGUAUGGCCCUUAUGCCCAGGGCUGCACACGUACUACAAUGCCCAGUACAGAGGGGGCCGAAGCCGCGAGGCGGAGGAAAUCCUAAAAACUGGGCCCAGUUCGGACUGUAGGCUGCAACCCGCCUACACGAAGCCGGAAUCGCUAGUAAUGGCGCAUCCGCUACGGCGCCGUGAAUACGUUCCCGGGUCUUGUACUCACCGCCCGUCA
rnacentral:rRNA from 1 species